GGUAUAAGCAGCACCGACGGUAAAGCGCAGGCCGAUAACCCCUCGUCACAAAACAGCUACAUCUUCAGCCCUGGAGCUGACAAGCCGAGCCAUCGACGAUCGAAUCGGCUAGCGAACGUCAGAUGUCAGAAGCAACAUCACUCAAAGUAGAACCCGAAUCGGCACCUGCAAUUAGGAUUAACCCAGACCAGCUCAGGUUACAAUUAAGGCCAGCGUGUUUACUGGGCAAUUCGAGGCGCGGAUAGAAGAACCGCUCGCACGAUAGGAUUUCCACAAAUUCCCUCCCAACUGGUCCGCUUAUGCUCCAUUCAACCGGAUCUUGGAAUCGACUCUAGGGCACACCUCGGUUUAUGCCAUCGACCUGCACGAAAUCCAGAUAAAGGGUACGAGGAAAAACUAGAUCUUUGAGCUGCGCCAGAUCAACCGCUACUUCAAGGAGUUUGUACUCAUCCCAACAACUCCCUUUUUUAAUUUAACUCACAGAAAAAUACAAAUUUCUAGUUAACAAAAGCUUCGACCAAAUAAAAAAA